UUUCUUGAAAAUAAGAAUAGAUCCGGAGAUUCCCGAAUAGGGCAACCUUUCGAACUGCUGCUGAAUCCAUGGGUAGGCAAGAGACAACCUGGCGAACUGAAACAUCUUAGUAGCCAGAGGAAAAGAAAGCAAAAGCGA